rnacentral:misc_RNA from 1 species
CCUUGCUUCUCUGUUUACGCACGUGGGUGGUCCGCGCCUUCCCGCUCCCUCCAUCGCGCGCUCUCUCUUCCUCUCUCUCUCUCCCUUCCUGUGUCUCUGCCUCCGCCUGUCUUUCUCUCUGAACUUCUCCAUCGCUCACGCCACCAUACCGGUCCCACCGUCACGCCACCCGCCCUCUUCUGUUACCGGUUUGUUUGCUUCCGUCGUUUGGAGGCUGCCGCGGUCCUUGUGCCGGUGCAUCGACGCACUGCGCAAACACCGGAGAGUGCUUCUCUUCGUUCGAAUGACAGACUUCUACGUAGAGGUACGCACGCGUUCGGAGGAGCAGGACAGAAGGAAGGUGCAGCAGGCCGCUGCUGGUGUAGUGCUGAACGUGCGCGUGCAUGUCUCUCUCCCUCUCACUCACUUGGCGUGCGCCUUUAGCGGUCUGUGCUGUCGUCGGCGCCUAUUAGAACUUCGUGCGCGUGUCGAAGGGCGCCAGGCUCGGCGGCACAACAGGUGCGUGCAUGUUUGAGUGUUCAGGAGCGGCUGCGUGCCGAGCCGCGGACAAAGGCGGAAUACACGUUUUGUGAGCAGAAUUCGACUUUGGUAUCCCCGCGUUCGUGGAAGGGGCGGAUGGUGAGAGAACGGAUGCGCGGUGAGCAGGGAUGGUGCUGCUGCCGCACGCCGCCGCACGGUUGCCCCUCACUGCUUGAGCGUACAUGUGCAUGCGCGCGCUGACGUUGAAUCGCCUCUUUAUGGCUGCUCACCGCUUUAUUUGCUUCUUUCUUUACCCCAUUGCUGAGAGGCACGUGUGCGCGUAUAUGCAGCGGGAAGCAGCUUUCUUCCCUCGCCCUCCCUCCGCGUAUGUGCCCUGUCAUGUUGUUCCAUCUGCGUUCCUGCUGGCUGUGCGUUGAGUUCUCUCUGUGUGUAUGGAGCGGCAACCUGGCGUUGGCGGAAAGGAAAAGGAAUCGACGAAAGGGGAGCCGUAAACUCCCCGCUUCUGUACAUAUAUAUAUAUACAUAUAUACAUACGCAUAUAUAUAGAGAGAGAG